rnacentral:tRNA from 1 species
GGAGAGGUGGCAGAGCGGUUGAAUGCGGCGGUCUUGAAAACCGCAGGACCUGAUGAGGGUUCCGAGGGUUCGAAUCCCUCCCUCUCCC